UACGUAGGGACCGAGCGUUGUCCGGAUUCAUUGGGCGUAAAGAGCUCGUAGGCGGCCACUCAAGUCGAAUGUGAAACCUCGAGGCUUAACCUCGAGCCUGCAUUCGAUACUGGGCGGCUAGAGUCUGGUAGGGGGAUCUGGAAUUCCUGGUGUAGCGGUGGAAUGCGCAGAUAUCAGGAGGAACACCGAUGGCGAAGGCAGGUCUCUGGGCCAUAACUGACGCUGAGAAGCGAAAGCAUGGGGAGCGAACA
rnacentral:rRNA from 1 species